AGCAGAAGCCUGAGGUGGAACUUGAAUUGAAGACCAAAUCAGUGGAGAAAGAAAAGCAAAAACACAAGGAGGACAAACAUGAAGAGAAGGAUGACAAGAAAUCGAAGAAAAAGGAGAAAGAGAAGAAGGUUGAUGAUGAAGAUGGAAAGAAGAAAGAGAAAAAGGACAAAGAAAAAGAGGAGAAGAAGAAGAACAAAGAUGAAGAUUUAGAUGAAGGAAAAAAGAAAGACAAGAAAGAGAAUAAGAAAAAAGACAAGGACAAAGAAGAGAAGAUAAAGAGCAGUACCGAGAAGAAAGAUAAGAAACACAAGGACAAAGCGGACGAGGACAGAGAAUGUGAUCGUGAAGAUGACGAGCAAGAAGAGAAAAAGGAAAGGAAGAAGGAUAAGGAGAUGAAAGAGAAGAAGAACAAAGAUGAAGAAGGUGAGGAAGAGGAAGAAAAGAAGAAGAAAAAGAUUAAAGAUGAGGAGAAAGAAGUGAAGAAGAUGAAAGGUAAGGAGAAGAAAGAUAGCAAGAAGCAGGACGAAGAAGAUGAAGAGGAGGAAGAAAAAAAGAAGAAAGAAAAGAAGCACAAAUAUGAAUUAGUGAAGGAUAAAGACAGUGAUGGGGAAAAGGGUGAGGUAGUAGUAACCACCAGGGAGAUUCAAAUAGAAGAAAGUGGGAAGGAAUCACAAGGUGAAGGACAAGACCAGCAGAAAGAUGAAGGCAAAGAGAAGAAAAAAGAAAAGGACAAGAAGGACGGCAAGAAGAGAAAACUAGAUGGAAAGGGUAAGAGCAAGGAUAUUGGCAAGCUAAAACAGAAGUUGGAGAAUGUUAAUGCCAAAAUAGAGGCUCUCAUCGAGAAAAAGGCAGAUAUUAUGAGGCAAAUUCAAGAAGCUGAACGCGAGAGCAGUGGCACAACCGAGAAGGAGACAGAUAAAGCUAGCUGAUUAUCAUAGCACUGUUGUAGGUGUGUUGCACUUAAGCUACUGUUGUAAUAAAAUAACAUGUUCAUGUGUCUCCCACAUAUGACUGAAUAAACCUCAGAACUCGAUAUGACGAAUAAAAAAAGCCUAUAUCUAUUUCGACGAUAAAUAAAAGUUGCUUGGCUUCCUUAUCACGGUAACAAUAUUAUUUAGUUGUAUGUUUAUCAUAUAAUUUUUGCAUUCCUAUCUGCUCUUUCCUUUCACUUUUUGAUGAAAUUAAAUCUUAGGUGCAUUGCCAACUGGAAGUAAACCUGAUAGGUAGAAUCAGUAAUGUCUCUGUAGAAGCUAGAUGUUGAAUGAUUAAGGUUCUAUUUGACGCAUCACCUGUGAAUAUUUGCUAUUGUUUAUCCAAAAACAAUAGUUUCACUAAAAUUGACAAGUUCAAACACACUCCAGCAUUUGAAUCAGCAAUUUUAGUGAAACUAUUGUUUCAAUUAUGAAUUAUGCAUCAGGCAAUGGGUAUAUGUGAAAUCCAUGGCCCUUAUGUUUAUAACAUGCGCAUACAAUAGCAGUUACAUUAUAAUUUGAUUUGAAGUUGGCCUUAUACAAUCACAUGUAGCCAGACUUAUUUACAAUCAGUAUAACGAAAAUCUUCUGCGUAACACUCUAGCAAGAAUUCUUGUAAUCACUCCAUCUAAUUUCUUUUUUAUUCUAUUAAUCACUAUAAAUACCAAUUUGAGGAAGUUUCUUAUAACAAGCAUGAAAAAACUAGCUUGUCUGUCUAGACUUGGUAGUGAGGCCAAAUCCAAAUGGGAAGAGAGGAUCAUAAUGUGGAUCUCCAACAUUCAUUGGCAGCUGAUCAACAGUCUUGAACCAUGUACGCGGAAGCUUGCCAGUGAAAUCGUAGUCACCAAACAGAACAUCAGCAACACCUUGACCCUCAGUUCCAGGGAGCCAAGCUGCAACAAGAGCAUCAAUGUAUGAAAGAUACGGUUGGAUCACAACAGGACGGCCAGAGAUUACGACAACAACACAUUCCACAGCUCCACAAACGUUUGUGAUGGUGUUAGGACCAGGGUCGGCAAUAUUCAGGUUCAUGCUGUCGCCGUUUGUCUCUGCAUAUGGGUGCUCUCCAACUACCACAAUGGCAUAUGAGAAGUUGUUGGACUUCACAAAGUUGGCAUCUGGAUUCUCCUGAUAGACAACUUCAGUUUGUUGAUCAACAGUAUUUUUAAUGGCAUUGAGUAUUGUAGUACCUGCGCAUUAGACGGACCAUGUUAGUUGGUCUUACCCAUAAUAACUUGUUGUAUAAAAGUUCUUAUCAGCAACAUUAGCCAUCUAUUUUACCUCUAGUGAGGUCGUUGCCACUAAGUCCCUGCCACUCAAUUGUCCAGCCACCACACUGAUAACCCAGAUUGUCAGCAUGGCUGCCAGCAACUAGUAUCUUUGAUGUUUUUUUAGGAAGGGGUAGUAUCUUUGAUGUCUUUUUAGGAAGAGGUAGUAAUGGAACCUCAGUUGAAUCACCAUUCUUUAGCAGCACAAGUGAUUUUCUUACAGCUUCCCUAGCCAGUUCUCUAUGCUCCUGCUUCGGUAACAGGAUGAAUGAGAAUACUUUUGAGACCCGUGCAACAUAGAGGUAAAAUAGUAGUUUAGUAACUAACCUGACUUCCCAGCUGAUCAACCAGGCUAUCAUCAGCCAAUGGAUUCUCGAAUAAACCCAUCACAAAUUUGACUCGCAAAAUUCUUCUCACUGCAUCAUCAAUUCUGCUCAUAGGUAUGAUGUUAUUCUUCACUUGGAAGGUCAGAUCAUCUAUGAAUUCUAUAUAGUUAUAGGGGACCAUGACCUGGAGCACGUUCAAAACAAAGAAUUAAAAUAGACUUGAUGAAAAUUUAUAAAAGUUUUGUUAUAGCACCUAAGCAAAGCCUAUGAACUGACCAUGUCAAUGCCAGCCUUGAUUCCUACUUCAACGGAAUAUGAGUAGUUAGCAUGAGGUGGAGAUGUGAUCCUGUCCAGACCUUCCCAAUCUGUGAUGACAAAACCCUGAAGAAAAUUUUCCGCAGUCAGUCAUCAAUUCAGUUGCUUCCUUUUCAAGUAAAAUAAAAAUACAGAGAUGUCCAUAGGAUGUGUCAAAAGAACGAAUUUUUUACCCUAAAUUGAAGAGUAUUUUUCAGAAAACCAGUGACAAGUUCCUGAUUAGCAUGCAUCUUAAUUCCAUUCCAGCUAGAGUAGGAGACCAUGACAGUUGAGACACCCUUGAUAAUUGAGUUGUAGUAUGCAGGCAUGUGUAUUGCGAGCAAACCGUGUCUGUCUAUGAUAGUGUUGUUCUCAUUUACUCCAUUUAUUGUCCCACCAUCACCUACAAAGUGCUUAGCACAAGCUGCAACCUUUGUUCUGUUGCAAAACAAUCAAAUCAUCAUUUCGUUAUGCGCAUUCUAUAUGAAUCUCUUUGAUCGUAUCUGUCAUUUGAGAAAGGAAGAAGAUAAAUAAUAUGCAAUAAACAUCUGCAAAUUAGAGAUGGUGCUUCUAAAUAUCUUACUUUCCAGCAACAUAGGGGACACCCUUUGGGGACCCAGCAGGAAUGUCCCCCUGGAGUCCAGGUAUAAGCUCAGUCAUCGCCUGGACGAUCUUGGGGUCUUCGCUGUAGCUUUCAUAGCAUCGACCCCAUCUUGGAUCCCUGCAGACCUGAACAAACAAAACAAAUAUAAGGAAUCGCCAUUUGCACAGAUGGAUUUUCAUUUUCUUUUAUGUAAAUCAGUAUUUAAAAUCUGAUAGGUACCGCAAUACAAGGUGCAAAAGUAUAUGGAAUGCCUGUAGCUCGAACUUCAAGUGCAGUUGCAGCUCCAAUCCUUUUAACAAGAUCGGGGUCCCUGGAUGAAUCAACAGAAUGUUAACUCAUGUCGGAUUUACAAAACCAAGUUUAAAGAGAACAAUAUCAUCCACAGAGCUACAUCCACUUGCCUUGUAGCUCCAAGGCCUAUAUUGUGAGGAAAAAUUGUAGCGUUGUAAACAUUGUUAUGACCAUGAACAGCAUCAAUCCCAUAAAUCAUUGGAAUCCCAAGUCGCGUGGAUAAAGCACCCUUCUGAAAAUCAUUGAUUAUGUUAAUCCAAGCCUCAGCAGAAGCCUGUCUUGCCGGAGCACUCCCUCCUCCAGUCAAAACACUCCCUGCCGAAAACUUAAAAUUCUUUAAAAACUUCUUUAGACAUAUUUCAUCAAUCAUCAAUCUGUUAGCGUUGCUUGCUUACCUAUGAAGUAUUUCUUCAUCACCUCAGCUGAAGCAACACCACGUUCAAUCUGUGUCAUUUGGCCUAUCUUUUCCUCCAAAGUCAUCCUGCUAACCAGAUCGUUCACUCGGACAUGUAAUGGCUGCUUGGGAUCUUUAUAUUUCAGGUAUUCUGCUUCUGCCAAGCAACACAAGAGCAGAAGCCCCAUCAAGGAGAUGAGAGUUCUAGCCAUAUUUUCGUAAACCAACCUUCAAAGCUGAAAAAAACCGGAAAUGUCCAUUAAAUUCCCAUUUGAGACAAGACAAAAAAAAAAUGUAAAAUUUGUUCUCUACAUUGAAGACUAAUUAAUUAUAAGUGAUUGAAAUAAAAAAACAAAGAGACUGGCUAAUUAACAAAUGAAGACAGAAUAUUAUGAGGAACAUAAGAAUAUAUGAAUGGGCGCAUACACAAACACAGAAACCAUAAAACGUAAAAUUGAAAAUUCAAAGCUGUGUACAUCCAAACAAAAGUGAAAGAAUAUCUUUUAGGUGACCAUUGCAUUUGGCUUUCGUAAUAAUGAAGCUUGAUUGUUAUUAUUCUUAUCAUUAUUAUAAUUAUUUAAACAAAAAAGAGUCAUAGGGGACUCAUAUGAAUGAACCGCGUCAGUCUUUAAGCAACAGAGGUUUCUUGUUUUCCUACAUUUUCUCAGAAAACAAACAGAGGAUUAACUGAAAGCAGCAGUGCAUACACAGAAAGUUCAAGAAAAAUGCGAGAAAUGAAAAGAAAGAUUACAACUUACAUUGAAAUAAAUAUACCCAAAAGAUUAGUCUGUUUGUUAUGUCUCAGUUUCACAAAUGGGGACUCAAAAAAAUUGUCUCCUUGAAAUGGGAAGCAGCAGUUUGUACGACAAUGCUGCAGAGCUUGAGCUGGUAUUUAUAGAAACUUGCUCCUUAAUUUACUUUUCUAAAACAACAUGGUUGUUACGUGGAAGGAUGAAAUUCAGUUGUGGUAGUGUACACUAACGGUCAACAAAUAUAUAUCUAGACAAUAAAAUGAUCCAAUUCUUCCGAGGUAAUAGGUUGUUCAAACUUCCUCUUGCAUAGAUAAAGAAAGAAUCUUGAAUCUAACUUAAAUUCAAUUCUUAAUUUCAAUAUUACAGUGUAAUUUUAUUGAUAUUACAAUUAAAAGUCCAUCACUGAUCAGGCUUGAUCCCCACAAUGACAAAAAAAUAUUUGAAAAUAACCCUUGAUGAGCACAACAAUGACGAAUAAAGUAACUGGAAAAACUGUCCCAAAAUCACAGGAAACUACUCGAAAUAUGAUGAAAAAAAAUAAAAAGAAUGCAUUCACAUUUUGAUGAUUGAACCUGAAGAAAAGAACGUGAUUGAAUUCAGGGUAAUUCACGCAAGCCCGACUGGAGUGGAUAGGGUUUAUUACAAUUCAAAGUUGGAUAAGAUACACAAAUUCUACAACUGCAACAAAACAAUAAUCAAACUCACGUCAUCGUGCUAUGUCGAGUUUCAACUGAAUUUAUUGAUUUUAUCCGCACAAACAUCUUUUUUCAACUCGGUCGGUUUGAUUUGUUUUCCUUAAAAUCUUUCAAAAUAAUCGCCUGUCAGUUUUUCUUGAGCAUUUCUUACAAGCCAAGAUAUAAGAUCGCUGUGACAAGUACAUUUUUUUCUGAUGAUAAUUUGAUUAAUUAAAAAUUAAAAAAUUGGCAACUUGUGCGUUGGGUACUUUUUUUUUUCGUUUUUAAAUAAAGGUAGUUGUUUUAAACACGUCCGUUAAGUGAACUGCUCUUCCAAUACUACCUGUCAAACGAAAUAAUGGUCUGCUUAUUGCUUGCUUGUUGCCUGGCUAGCUUUCACCAAAUCGAUAUUAUUAUAUACGCCCAAUUACUUCUGUUAAAAAUAAUCAAAAGGCAUAGUUUGUCCAGCUUAGCAUUGCAUAUUUGCAUUAAUUAUAAAUCAAUUAGAAGUUGACGUAUGAAUUAUUUUAUCAUCUCUUGUCCGAAUUGAACACCCAAUUUAGUGUAAAACGCCAUUUUGGUUCUUAAGGUUUAAUUCUUCUUUAGUAUGAUUUAUUUAAUGAUCAUAAAUACUUAUUUAAUCUUAUAAAUUCUUAUCAUAAUUUUGGUCGUUAUUUGGUUGUUUUCCUAAUAGAGUUUUUUAAGUUUAAAUAAGCUAUUUUGCCUCUACUAACAAAAUCUCAAAUUUUAAAUUUUUGCGAGUAAAAAUUAAAAAGUUUUUUUUAAAUAUUAAAAUAUCAUCUACUUAUUUGACAAUCUUAUUUUAUUUUUUUUAUAACAUAACUUUAAAAAACUUGUUUAUUAAAGUAAUUUCAUAAAUUUUUAAUAAAAGUUCUUACUAACAACCAAACAACUAAAUUUUUUUUGGUAAAAACUCCAUGUGUAAAAAUCUACUAACAAAAGUUUUAUUUAAAUAAGAUUUACUUGAAAAAUUGUAUCAAAUGGAGCAUUUGUCUAAUUACUUUACCUAAAAUAUCUAUACUUCACAACUUUUAUAGAUGUUAAAUCUGACUUUUUUAAGGAUAUAAUAAAAGAAUUUUUUUUAUUUAAAUUAAAAUUCGAACAGAUGUGACAACCAAUAAGUAAAAAGUAGAUAAGAAUCAAAUAGAUUUCCACAGAGUAUUUUGAGUAAUUUUGAAAAUACCAAAAUUAAUUAAGUAAUUAACUCAAACCUUUGGGACCAGAGAAGCAUAUCCUCAUCCAACAUUUUUUUGUUAUUAUAAUUUAAUACAUCACGUACCAAUUUGGAAAUCAAAUUGGAUAAUGUCGUCGAGUUAAUAAUAUUCUGUUCUAUAUGAAAUACACACGUACGUACAAUGAUCUUGUAUAUGAGAUACAUGCACAAUUAAUGAUCUUGUAGCUUUUGUUGAUAUAGAUGACACGAUGGACCGACGUGGCUAAUAAUCUUAAGAUUAUGGUUAAUUAAUAAAAGUGUCAAUACCCAGAAUUACUUAUCCAUUACAAAAGAAUACAAUUCUAACUCUACUUGUGUUCAGUUGAAUUAUACACAAUGCAAAUAUUCAACAUAAGGCGUGAUGAUGAAGAGAUGUGAAGCCCCGAAGUGUCUCAUACGAUUUAAUUCUUUCAAAGACUGCCCAUUAAGAUUAUGUAAUAAUACGUGCAAUAUAUUUUGUGCCUAAAACACAGAUUAUAUAUGCAUUGAUUGUUUAAGAUGGAAGCAGUUUAGACCACGUUAUAUAAGUGUUAUAUGCAUGUACACAUAUUUUAGGUCGUCAAUCACUUUCUAUAUCUAUACUCUAAUUAGAGACGUAAAAUGGAUGGUAUAAAAUACGUUAAUGCUAAUCUUUUCUUUAUCAUAUUGGAUUCUUCUUAUAUUGAUUAAUUAUAUUGGGGUCUUUAUUAAUUAUUGUUUGUUUGUUUGUUUGCUUAUUUUUGACUUAUCCGUUGCUUGUUGCAAAGGUAAGUUUGGUUUGAUGCAUGCUAGACGACGAAGACGUCACCUAUAUAUCCAAUCCACGAAUGAGUUUUAAAGAUUAAUACGUUAAAAGGAAAAAAAUGACCUUUUGGCAAGCAUCGAGCCCUUGUUGCAGUCACAUGUGAAUAAUGUGUGCUCCCCAUGAAUAUUUGAAAUUUGUUUUGUUUAGUUCGCGUGUUGACUGAUUCAAAUGCUUUGUACAAUUUUGAGUUAAAAGAAUUUAAGAAUCAAAUUAGACCAGAAUUUAGUUUCUAUCUAUUAUUUAUAAAGGAUUCAGUAUAAUUUUAUAUUGUGUCUUAUGGACCCAUUUAAAUUUUUCCAAAAAAAAAUGAAGAUAUAUAAUAUAAGAAGAUAAUGAAUGAUGAUGAUGAUGAUGAUGAUGAUAAUAUCUCUGUUUUUUAAGAUAUUGUUGAGUAAUGAAAAACUAUAAAUUAAUUUUAUUUACAUAUAAAAAAAAUAUAAGACGUGUGAAGAUCCUGAUAAGCUGAUAACAGAAGCUUUACAGAAUACUCCCCCAAAGAUCUUGAAUUAGAAUCAACAAGAUGCCUCACAAAUCAAUUAGAAAGCUUAACGAAAUAAUGUUCAAUUAACUAAGACUAAGAUUGUGUUUAGAAACAAACAAAGAAUUGAAUCGAAAUACAAGAAAUCACAGAACACAGCUAGCUAACGUAGUUCAGUCAAUUUGCAUUGACUUACAUCCACGGGGGAACAAACGCAUCAACUUUAUUGAUAUUGCUCAAGUCUUGAUUACAGAGAUUACCAAGCACUCAAUAAGAACAAGAAAACUAUCCUCUAUAUCAAGCUUUCUUUCUCUCGUUAUAAUGCUCUCAGUCUCUCGUCAACUCUCUCUUUCUCUCAACUGUGUACAACAGCUUAUAAACCACCUCAGAGGCAUUUCCAGAAACACACGUGAUGAUCAUGUGGAAUAACGGCUUCUUUAACAACCUUCUUGUUUGCACGUGUUCUGCUUGUGCUUCAUUAACUCCAAAACAACAAGAUUGUUGGUCGUUCUAACAAGCACUUGAUUUACUUAUUAAAACGCAGUCUUCGUAUGUCGUUUUGCUUAAGUUAUAGUGCAUCACAAAACGCGAGUCAGCACUGCCGUUUCAUCCUCUUUGAUUUGAUUCACUGAAUACACAACAAAACUCCACCUUGAAGCAAAUCAUCCCUGAUAAACUUUCUCCUCAUUAUCGUGUGCAUUUCUCAGGAGCUGCACACUCCAGUCAAAUCCAAACAGAGAUUGAAUUUAGCUGUAGGUACCACAUUUGUAAGCAUGUCAGCUGGGUUACUGUCACUGUGAACUUUAACCAUUUUGAUGACUCCUUUAGACACUUCAUUCCUGAUAAAGUGUAGCUUCACAUCAAUAUGUUUGGUUCUUUCAUGGUGUGCUGGAUUUCUUGCUCAGAUAGAUUGCACUCGAGCUGUCACAAUGGAUAUCAACAGACUGUUGCUUCUUGCCCAAUUCAGCUAACAUACCCUUAAGCCACAAUGCUUUUUUAACAGCCUCUGUAGCUGCAGUGUAUUCAGCUUCUGUAGUUGACAAAGCUACAAUAUGUUGAAGGUUUGCUUUCCAGUUGAUUAGACAGCCAUUUAACAUGAACAUAUAACCUGUUAAAGAUCUUCUUCUGUCAUUAUCCCCUGCAAAGUCUGAGUCUACAUAUCCACAUAGUCCAUCAUUUUCUCUCCCUGAUCUCCCAUAUUGCAGUCCAAUCCCCAAGGUACCCUUUAAGUAUCUUAGGAUCCAUUAUAUUGUUUGUUUGUUUUUUACUUAUCCGUUGCUUGUUACAAAGGUAAGUUUGGUUUGAUGCAUGCUAGACGAAGGAAGACGUCACCUAUAUAUCCAAUCCACGAAUGAGUUUUAAAGAUUAAUACGUUAAAAGGAAAAAAUUGACCUUUUGGCAAGCAUCGAGCCCUUGUUGCAGUCACAUGUGAAUAAUGUGUGCUCCCCAUGAAUAUUUGAAAUUUGUUUUGUUUAGUUCGCGUGUUGACUGAUUCAAAUGCUUUGUACAAUUUUGAGUUAAAAGAAUUUAAAAAUCAAAUUAGACCAGAAUUUAGUUUAGUUUCUAUCUAUUAUUUAUAAAGGAUUCAGUAUAAUUUUAUAUUGUGUCUUAUGGACCCAUUUAAAAUUUUCCGAAAAAAAUGAAGAUAUAUAAUAUAAGAAGAUAAUGAAUGAUGAUGAUGAUGAUGAUGAUAUCUCUGUUUUUUAAGAUAUUGUUGAAUAAUGAAAAACUAUAAAUUAAUUUUAUUUAUAUAUAAAAAAUAUAUAAGACGUGGAUAGGACUGCUACUAAGUAAAUCUAGCUAACUAAUUAGAUUUGUUGCAGACUGGGAUACAAGUUCUAGAACUUUAAUAAAUGAUAAUUAAAUUGAUCUUUUUUCAUUCUCAACGCUAUGAUUUUCAGUUUAUUAUUUUUGAUAUAAAAGAGAUGUGGUGUAUACAUGUCAUCGCCAAUCUCCAAUACCAAUUCUCCAAAACUGAAACGAAGAAAGUUGAUAUUGAUUUAUUAUUUUUAAGAAUUUGAAAAUUUUAGGUAAUGAUUUGGCCGCUAUAGAGCUAAAAUAUGAGUAAAUAUACUUGUUUUAUCUUUUAAGAACCAGUCGAUUAUAUGAUAUGAUGGCACUGAAGCACCAAAUUUCUUGUUUGGAAUGCUCUUUGAUACCACGAUCACUCAAAUAAUAUUAUUAUUUUUUAAAGAAAAAAAUAUUAAAAUGUGACAAACUAUUGAUUCAAUCAACAAAGUCUGUUACAAAUAUAACAUUAGAUUAAUUUUGCAUUUUGGGCCUGUUCAUGGGGAUUGCUAGUUAAUGACAGCAUUACCUAACAACUUUUACUAAAUUACAAGAUCUACCAUUUAUUUAGUUGUUAAAGCUGUUGUCUUUUUUUUUUUUUCUAGUCGUGGCCAUUUAUUUAGUUGUUAAAGCUGUUGUCUGUUAAAGCUGUUGUCUUUUUUUUUUUUUCUAGUCGUGGCCUACUUCUGUCAUGUCAAAAUUCAGUUUGGUUUAGUUAAUGCACGUAGACCACCAAAUCUGUGAAGUAAAAUUGCCACAAAGAAAUACCCACCCGGCAUCUCCACCAUCUAUGCUAGCCAAUCGUUCAUUCACCAUCAGGCGCAAUCUUUGCUACAUUAAUAUUGACAUUUGAUAACAGUAGUACAUGCUUAGCUUAGCAGGUUUUGUUACGUCACUUUUCUUCAAUUAGCUACAGCUUUUUUCACUCGUCUUCACAAAUCACAACUGCAUGGCACUUGCCAUAGCCAUUUUUUCAAAUCGUUAAAAGGAAUUUUGGUGUCUUUUAUUAAAAAUUUAGAGAUCUACAUAACUAUUUUCCAAAUCGUGUAGAUAUCACUUUUCCUUUUGUAUUUUGACAUUCCGUUUGAUUGAAAUUUCUGUAAUACCUUGACUUAUGUGUAUAUAAGUCAUUAUGUUAAGAAUAUAUAAGUUAAUUAUUUUGUUGGGCCUAAACUAAUUCAAAGCCCACACUAACAGUUAAAAAAAGCUGAGCCUAAUAGCCUCUUUAUACAUCACUAAAAAUAAAAAUCUAUUAUUUUGUUGGGCCUGAACUAAAUCAAAGCCCAAACUAAUACUAAUAAAAGCCAAGCGCAUUAGCCUUUAUACACACGCGCGUAUGGGGGCAGAUCAGCAGCCUCCUAAAAUUAUAUCUAUUUUUAUAUUAAUAAAAGAAUAGUACAUGUACCGAGAUGAUGCAACAAUUAGAACGUAAGACUCUUCUUAAAUUAAUAAAUAACUUUGCUAAAAUAAUUUUUUUUUCAUAGUCCCAAAAAAAUAUAUAUAGAGGUUUCUUAGAAUAUUUAGAUAUUAAAAACAAGUAACCAUAGAGAGGUCAAAGUAAAUUUACCUAAAAAAAUUAAGCUUAGCUGUAAUAUGGGACACUAAGAAAUUAGUUUAAACAAACAUCACAUACUAGCAAUGGUCAACAAAAUUUUAUAGCAGACCUAUUAAUUAAUUUAGGAUAAAAUUUAGAAAUUAAUUUUUAGAAAUUAAUUUAGACAAAAUUUCUAAGUUAUUAAUAGGAGUAAACAGUUCUUUGAAAUUAGUAAUAUUAAUACAUUAAGAAAAAACUUAGAUUGUAUUGAAGAAAUAUUAUCAUAUUCCAAUAGUCAAAUUAAGAGAUCCCGUAAUAUAAAAAGAAAUUGCGGAUUUAAAUAUAUUAUUAGAUAUUAAAACUCCUAAACGAACUGAGUUAGAAAUUGGAAUCAUAGUUGAUUUACUAAAAAUAGAAACAGAAAAUAUUACAAAAACACCAAGUAACUUGCAACAACAGUUGGAUUCCGAAGUACAAUACGAAUAGAAUAAGAGAAAUCUUAAUAAAAAAUAUUAUAUGUAAAAUUGAGAAUAUUGAUGAUAAAAUUAAAUAAUAUUAAUAGAAAAAACAAUCAAUCAAAUAAUUAAUUGUCUCCAUUUUAAUUACGAAUUGCGAUAGAUUGAUUGUAAAUCAAUAUAAUAAUUGAUUGACCCAAUCUUUGUUAACAAUCAUUGUUCCUGAAUUAUAUACAUCAAUUACAUCAUUUUCUUUUUCAUAUUUCAAAUACUUAUAUAAAUUAAGCCUUUGUACUCACGAAUUAAUAAGAGUGAAAUUUAUGUUUCCUCAAUAAUUCUCAGAAGUUUUCACUAUUAGGGGCGAGAGAGAGUUUUGUCGGCCAGCACUAUUGAUUUGCAUAUAAGAACAAACGUGUCUGUAAUUACAAAGAAAGAAAAUGAUAAACUUUGCUUCUAGAAUCGCUUCAAAUUCAGAAAAUUCAAUAAGAAUUUUCGGAUUCUUAGUCCAAUACUCUUCUAAUAAAAGUCAAAAGGAUUUUCUGGAGUUGGAUUCAUUUGAUUGGCGGUGGACAAAUGAAGCUCCCACAGCGGCGAGUGAUUAUCUGUGAAGUGAUCUCAAUAAGAAUUAUUAAUCUUUUGGUCGUUAAGAUUCUGAGCAUACUUUAGGAGAAAAAAUUUCUACAUUUUAGUCGGACUAAGCAGUUCUUUGAAACUGGUGAGUGGUUAUGGUAGUAUUAAUAAUUAAGAAAAAACUUAGAUUGUAUUAAAGAAAUAUUAUGAGAUUUCAGCAGUCAAUUUAAGCAAUUCCAUAACCGGAGAAGUCAAAAAGAAGAAAUGGUGGAUUUAAUGAUUAUUCAGUUAUUUUGGGUAUUUUAAUAUCUAAAACAGAUCUUCAAUAUAUAUAUAUAUAUAUAUGAGCACAAAAUAAAUUUAAAAACUGUUGGAUUCUAUAAGUGCAAGACGAAGGCAGUCGGCCAAUCAAUCAAAGUUAAUCGUGAAAAGGACAUCGUGUAGGCUGCUCUAACUCUUCUCUUUUUUUUAUUAAUAUAUUUUCAGAUUUAUAAAAAAAAAAAAAAAAAAAGGAUUGCUCAUUGAGUGCUACGUGUCGGGCGAUUAACUCGCUCGCUCGGGCGGGCGAUUGCUCAGACAACAAUGUCGUCCCAUUAUUAUACCCACUACUCUCAAUGUAUUUACACUCAAAAUACUAUUUAUUUCUCUGUUACAAAAACAAGAAGAUUCAACAAAAUUUAUAACUACUUAUAAUUGUGAUGUCUUCACAGGUCACAGCUGCUGCAAUUGUUAUAGAUUCAUAUGUAAUAAUUGUUAUAGAUUCAUAUGUAAUUGAAAAAAAAAAAAAAAAAAAAACUCAGUAACUACAACUUUGAGUAAUGUAGAUAAUCUAACAAAAAUUUGACAUAAUCCUCCAUAGACCAAGUAUAACAUAUUUGGUUUAUUAAUCUUUCUUUGUUCUCCACUUUCAUGCAAGUAAAAUAUGGCCAUUUGGCCACCUUUUAUGCUUCUCCACAUUUGAACGUGUAUAAUAUUUUGGGCAGCAUUCUUUUGCACCAUCUCAUUUUUUCCAGACUGCAAAAGAUUAUAAAAGAUUCAGUAAGUGAAAAAUAAAAUGUACAUAUUCAACAGCUUUAGCAUAAAACAGGUAAGUAACUGGAUCUCAAUAAGAAUUUUCGAAUUCUUAGUCCAAUACUCUUCUAAUAAAAGUCAAAAGACAGUUGGAUCUACAAGUGCAACACAACAGCCAAUCAAUCACAGCUAAUCAGGUAGAUUGCUCAUUGGGUGCUACGGUUCGGGCGAUUAGCAGCAAGUAUCCAGUUUUCUCGUUUGCUAGCAUCCACAGACAACAGAAUCAUCCCAUUUUUUCAAUAUUAUUUUUCCCACUACUUUAAACAUAUUUACACUCAAAAUAUCAUUUAUUUCUCUGUUAAAGUACUAAAUUACCCCUCUCAUUUUGUUUGUUAAUAAAAAAUUCUGAAAAAUCAUACAACCCAAACUCUUACAAACCAACACUCUCAAUUGUUCAACUGAAACAAUUUCGAUUUAUAAGUUUCAUUGUCCCAAAUGGUUUUUGGAGUACGGUUCUAUUACAAAAAGAAGAACAUCCAACAAAAUUUAUGGCUACUUAUAAUGAAGCAAUUUUGUUCAAAGUACAUUGAUUAUAAAAAUAGUUCUCCUUUGUGCAUUGAACAUUUUUCCAUCGGAGAGCAAAGCCUUGCCUUGAGAACUUCUUUAUAGUUUGAAAGUAUCUAGAAGUCUUAUUGUUUGAACAUAAAUAUACUCCAACCUAUAUCUAUAAAUAAAUGUCAUUUCGACAUUAAUAAUAAAUUAUAACAAUAAAUAAGUAUUUAAAGAAGGUUUUACCAUCAUUAAACAUUGUUAAAUUUAGAACCAACAUCUGAUAAAUAUUCACCAAAAAAAUACUUCAAGGAUUCAUAAUCUUCCUUGUAGCGGUUGAGACUAUAUUUUCAUAUUAAAACUUUCACAUACAAAUGCUCUUCACUCGCGUGGUGCUUUUGAAAGUGAGAACUGAGCCAUGUUUAUAAAAUAUUAUCAUAUUCUUAUAGUCAAAUUAAGAGAUUCCAUAAUAUAAAAAAGAAAUGUUAGAUUUAAUAUAGGGUGAAGAUAUUUGAACCCAUCAAAGUUCUAUUUGCACCCAUACUUUUAAAAAAUAUUUUUGCUGCUAAUAUAUCCCAAAUGUAAAUUAUGAUUUUAGACAUUAGACAAGACGAUAAAACUAAAGAAAAAUAAUUUAAUUCAUAUGCUCUUCUUUCAGGUUUCAACAGCCGCUUAUAUUGUGCUUUCAAUCUCGACUCAUGAAGCCAAACAAAACAAUAAUGUUUAUUGUUAGGCACUUUGAGAUAAGCUUCAAUGUGAAGAAGAAUUAAGUGUCAUGUAGAUUACAAAUUGAAGUUUGUCUGCAAGAUAAAUUUCCUACCAAGACAAGA
rnacentral:lncRNA from 1 species